rnacentral:guide_RNA from 1 species
AAAUUAAACAAUCCAUAUGAUAUCUCACGU